GUCGCUGUUGCGUGGGUUAUAAUUGACAAAGGCAUAGCCCCGCGUUUGGUCGAUAAUGUGGAACAAUGGGUUCCAGUCAAACAUAUUAAUCACAAACGCGGGCAGCAUAUUGGCCACAAACAUUUUGCCCGAUGCCAGCAUUGUAAUG
rnacentral:ncRNA from 1 species